AAUUCAGUUGAUAUUUUAUUUCAGUCUUCAUGAAUCAUGAUGCAAGAUUAUUCAAUAUAAUUAUUUGAAGCUGAUUAGGACGCCUAACUAUUUAUUAGUUAUAGUUUGUAAUUAAUCAAAUAACUCAAUCCAAAUAAAAUGGUGGGAAUAUUAAACAGAACCAUGAUUUCUUUUCUUCUUUUGCUAGCUGCGAUAGUUUUUC